GACGAACGCUGGCGGCGUGCUUAACACAUGCAAGUCGAACGGAAAGGCCCUUCGGAGUACUCGAGUGGCGAACGGGUGAGUAACACGUGGGUGAUCUGCCCUGCACUUUGGGAUAAGCCUGGGAAACUGGGUCUAAUACCGAAUAGGACCACGCGCUUCAUGGUGUGUGGUGGAAAGCUUUUGCGGUGUGGGAUGGGCCCGCGGCCUAUCAGCUUGUUGGUGGGGUAAUGGCCUACCAAGGCGACGACGGGUAGCCGGCCUGAGAGGGUGACCGGCCACACUGGGACUGAGAUACGGCCCAGACUCCUACGGGAGGCAGCAGUGGGGAAUAUUGCACAAUGGGCGCAAGCCUGAUGCAGCGACGCCGCGUGAGGGAUGACGGCCUUCGGGUUGUAAACCUCUUUCAAUAGGGACGAAGCGCAAGUGACGGUACCUAUAGAAGAAGCACCGGCCAACUACGUGCCAGCAGCCGCGGUAAUACGUAGGGUGCGAGCGUUGUCCGGAAUUACUGGGCGUAAAGAGCUCGUAGGUGGUUUGUCGCGUUGUUCGUGAAAACUCACAGCUUAACUGUGGGCGUGCGGGCGAUACGGGCAGACUAGAGUACUGCAGGGGAGACUGGAAUUCCUGGUGUAGCGGUGGAAUGCGCAGAUAUCAGGAGGAACACCGGUGGCGAAAGCGGGUCUCUGGGCAGUAACUGACGCUGAGGAGCGAAAGCGUGGGGAGCGAACAGGAUUAGAUACCCUGGUAGUCCACGCCGUAAACGGUGGGUACUAGGUGUGGGUUCCUUCCUUGGGAUCCGUGCCGUAGCUAACGCAUUAAGUACCCCGCCUGGGGAGUACGGCCGCAAGGCUAAAACUCAAAGGAAUUGAUGGGGGCCCGCACAAGCGGCGGAGCAUGUGGAUUAAUUCGAUGCAACGCGAAGAACCUUACCUGGGUUUGACAUGCACAGGACGCCGGCAGAGAUGUCGGUUCCCUUGUGGCCUGUGUGCAGGUGGUGCAUGGCUGUCGUCAGCUCGUGUCGUGAGAUGUUGGGUUAAGUCCCGCAACGAGCGCAACCCUUGUCCUAUGUUGCCAGCGGGUUAUGCCGGGGACUCGUAGGAGACUGCCGGGGUCAACUCGGAGGAAGGUGGGGAUGACGUCAAGUCAUCAUGCCCCUUAUGUCCAGGGCUUCACACAUGCUACAAUGGCCGGUACAAAGGGCUGCGAUGCCGUGAGGUGGAGCGAAUCCUUUCAAAGCCGGUCUCAGUUCGGAUCGGGGUCUGCAACUCGACCCCGUGAAGUCGGAGUCGCUAGUAAUCGCAGAUCAGCAACGCUGCGGUGAAUACGUUCCCGGGCCU
rnacentral:rRNA from 1 species